UAUAGCAAGCUGGUGUCUGCAGCCAUGGCAACAUCGCCUUCUCUCUUGCUUUGAUCAAAACAGUAAAUCUGAGCCCUCAAUGGCCAAACAGAGAGAAAGUCAUAGAAUGAGAUAUCAGUGAGAAAUAUUAUUUAUUUAUUUAUUUAUUUAUGCAUUCGUUCAGUUUUGCUGAUAAGCCCAUGCUUUCUUGCUGGAAGCAAUUAACAAUGCUUAGUUCUUUCUGUAAAUCUAUCUUCGAGAGAUGCAUGUUGUUGAUCUGCUGUUGCUGUUGCUGCUAC
rnacentral:lncRNA from 1 species